AAGACUAUACUUUCAGGGAUCAUUUCUAUAGUUCACUACUAGAGAAGUUUCUCUGUUAACUGAAAAGUGAUCCCUGUUAAAUAUAAGAGUGGGAAUAAGAGAGGGA
ensembl:snoRNA U3 Small nucleolar RNA U3